UAAAGUAUAAUUUUUUUAAAAAAAGAAAAAAUUUACUGUGGUGUUGGAGGGGUGAAAGCAUAACUAAAGAGGUUCUCAAUAGUGCAAGGACUGGGAACAUUGAUGUAGCAGAGAACUGGUUUCGAAUCCUGGCUCUAUCUCUUCUCGCUCUGUGAAUUAGCUUACCUUAACUUUUCCGAUCCAGAUUCCUCCUGUUAUAAAGUGAGAUAAUAUCAGCCUCUCUGGGCAGUUGUGAGAAUAAGGAGUAUAGCAAAUAGCAUAGCACCUAAUGCAUAGUGGAUUGUCCUCCAUGCAGGUGAAGUUCCGAUGAGGAUGAUGGUGGGGAUGAUGAUGAUGAUAAUAAUGGUGAUGCUGAUGAUGGUGAUGGAGAUACUAACAAUGAUAAUGAAGAUGAUAUGAUGAUGAUGAUAAUGGUGUAGUGACGGUGACAAUGAUGAUGGUCAUGGUGAUGAUGACAAUGAAGACUUCUCAUCCACAGAGAUUCUGGCUUAAUUGGUUUGCGGCCUUAAUAUUACUUCGAUAACCAGGACCUCUGAUAACCUGCCCCCACCGAGUAAAGACUUAGCUGGGAAAGUCAGCUUCAUGUGAGGUAAAAGGAACCAGCCCUCUUGUGCAUGCUUUCCUGCCUUUCCACCUUCUGCUAUGGGAUGACACAGCAAGAAGGCCCUCACCAGAUGCAGCUCCUUGAUCUUGGACUUUCCAGCCUCCAGAACUGUAAGCCAAACAAAUUUCUGUUUAUUAUAAAUUACCCAGUCUCAGGUAUUCUGUUCUAGAAGCACGAAAUGGACUAAGAUCAUUAGAUUAUCAUUUUUUAUCAGACUGUUGAAGUGAAAAAUAAAAAUCAAAU
rnacentral:lncRNA from 1 species